CGGAGGGUGCGAGCGUUAAUCGGAAUUACUGGGCGUAAAGCGCAUGCAGGCGGUCUGUUAAGCAAGAUGUGAAAGCCCGGGGCUUAACCUCGGAACUGCAUUUUGAACUGGCAGACUAGAGUCUUGUAGAGGGGGGUAGAAUUUCAGGUGUAGCGGUGAAAUGCGUAGAGAUCUGAAGGAAUACCGGUGGCGAAGGCGGCCCCCUGGACAAAGACUGACGCUCAGAUGCGAAAGCGUGGGGAGCAAACAGGAUUAGAUACCCUGGUAGUCCACGCCGUAAACGAUGUCUACUUGGAGGUUGGUGUCUUGAACACUGGCUUUCGGAGCUAACGCGUUAAGUAGACCGCCUGGGGAGUACGGUCGCAAGAUUAAAACUCAAAUGAAUUGACGGGGGCCCGCACAAGCGGUGGAGCAUGUGGUUUAAUUCGAUGCAACGCGAAGAACCUUACCUACUCUUGACAUCCAGAGAACUUUCCAGAGAUGGAUUGGUGCCUUCGGGAACUCUGAGACAGGUGCUGCAUGGCUGUCGUCAGCUCGUGUUGUGAAAUGUUGGGUUAAGUCCCGCAACGAGCGCAACCCUUAUCCUUGUUUGCCAGCACUUCGGGUGGGAACUCCAGGGAGACUGCCGGUGAUAAACCGGAGGAAGGUGGGGACGACGUCAAGUCAUCAUGGCCCUUACGAGUAGGGCUACACACGUGCUACAAUGGCGUAUACAGAGGGCUGCCAACCAGCGAUGGUGAGCGAAUCCCACAAAGUACGUCGUAGUCCGGAUUGGAGUCUGCAACUCGACUCCAUGAAGUCGGAAUCGCUAGUAAUCGUGGAUCAGAAUGCCACGGUGAAUACGUUCCCGGGCCUUGUACACACCGCCCGUCACACCAUGGGAGUGGGCUGCACCAGAAGUAGAUAGCUUAACCUUCGGGAGGGCGUUACCACGGUGUGGUCCA
rnacentral:rRNA from 1 species